rnacentral:rRNA from 1 species
UACAGAGGGGGCAAGCGUUGUUCGGAAUUACUGGGCGUAAAGGGCGCGUAGGCGGCCUGUUAAGUCGGACGUGAAAUCCCUCGGCUCAACCGGGGAACUGCGCCCGAUACUGGCGGGCUUGAAUUCGGGAGAGGGAUGUGGAAUUCCAGGUGUAGCGGUGAAAUGCGUAGAUAUCUGGAGGAACACCGGUGGCGAAGGCGGCAUCCUGGACCGACAUUGACGCUGAGGCGCGAAAGCCAGGGGAGCAAACGGG